GAUGGACGCUGGCGGCGUGCCUAAUACAUGCAAGUCGAGCGAACGGACGAGAAGCUUGCUUCUCUGAUGUUAGCGGCGGACGGGUGAGUAACACGUGGAUAACCUACCUAUAAGACUGGGAUAACUUCGGGAAACCGGAGCUAAUACCGGAUAAUAUUUUGAACCGCAUGGUUCAAAAGUGAAAGACGGUCUUGCUGUCACUUAUAGAUGGAUCCGCGCUGCAUUAGCUAGUUGGUAAGGUAACGGCUUACCAAGGCAACGAUGCAUAGCCGACCUGAGAGGGUGAUCGGCCACACUGGAACUGAGACACGGUCCAGACUCCUACGGGAGGCAGCAGUAGGGAAUCUUCCGCAAUGGGCGAAAGCCUGACGGAGCAACGCCGCGUGAGUGAUGAAGGUCUUCGGAUCGUAAAACUCUGUUAUUAGGGAAGAGCAUAUGUGUAAGUAACUGUGCACAUCUUGACGGUACCUAAUCAGAAAGCCACGGCUAACUACGUG
rnacentral:rRNA from 1 species